rnacentral:rRNA from 1 species
UAACUGGAGGACCGAACCGACUAAUGUUGAAAAAUUAGCGGAUGACUUGUGGCUGGGGGUGAAAGGCCAAUCAAACCGGGAGAUAGCUGGUUCUCCCCGAAAGCUAUUUAGGUAGCGCCUCGUGAAUUCAUCUCCGGGGGUAGAGCACUGUUUCGGCAAGGGGGUCAUCCCGACUUACCAACCCGAUGCAAACUGCGAAUACCGGAGAAUGUUAUCACGGGAGACACACGGCGGGUGCUAACGUCCGUCGUGAAGAGGGAAACAACCCAGACCGCCAGCUAAGGUCCCAAAGUCAUGGUUAAGUGGGAAACGAUGUGGGAAGGCCCAGACAGCCAGGAUGUUGGCUUAGAAGCAGCCAUCAUUUAAAGAAAGCGUAAUAGCUCACUGGUCGAGUCGGCCUGCGCGGAAGAUGUAACGGGGCUAAACCAUGCACCGAAGCUGCGGCAGCGACACUAUGUGUUGUUGGGUAGGGGAGCGUUCUGUAAGCCUGUGAAGGUGGCCUGUGAGGGUUGCUGGAGGUAUCAGAAGUGCGAAUGCUGACAUAAGUAACGAUAAAGCGGGUGAAAAGCCCGCUCGCCGGAAGACCAAGGGUUCCUGUCCAACGUUAAUCGGGGCAGGGUGAGUCGACCCCUAAGGCGAGGCCGAAAGGCGUAGUCGAUGGGAAACAGGUUAAUAUUCCUGUACUUGGUGUUACUGCGAAGGGGGGACGGAGAAGGCUAUGUUGGCCGGGCGACGGUUGUCCCGGUUUAAGCGUGUAGGCUGGUUUUCCAGGCAAAUCCGGAAAACCAAGGCUGAGGCGUGAUGACGAGGCACUACGGUGCUGAAGC